UGCAUGUUGGGUCUGUUCUCAGUUCCUUUAACUAGCUAGAUAAGAGGUGGGGUCGUGAGAGUCUCCUCGUUGCUUGUCUUAGACAUCAAUUGGAUUGGCUAGAUAAGCUAACAGAAUUAAUUAAAUAAUCAUGAAUCUACUUUGGCUUAGCCUUUUUAACCUCUUAUCUUAGACACUAGUUUCAAGGGUAAAUCCAAACUUA
rnacentral:lncRNA from 1 species